GUCGAGCGAACGGACGAGAAGCUUGCUUCUCUGAUGUUAGCGGCGGACGGGUGAGUAACACGUGGAUAACCUACCUAUAAGACUGGGAUAACUUCGGGAAACCGGAGCUAAUACCGGAUAAUAUUUUGAACCGCAUGGUUCAAAAGUGAAAGACGGUCUUGCUGUCACUUAUAGAUGGAUCCGCGCUGCAUUAGCUAGUUGGUAAGGUAACGGCUUACCAAGGCAACGAUGCAUAGCCGACCUGAGAGGGUGAUCGGCCACACUGGAACUGAGACACGGUCCAGACUCCUACGGGAGGCAGCAGUAGGGAAUCUUCCGCAAUGGGCGAAAGCCUGACGGAGCAACGCCGCGUGAGUGAUGAAGGUCUUCGGAUCGUAAAACUCUGUUAUUAGGGAAGAACAUAUGUGUAAGUAACUGUGCACAUCUUGACGGUACCUAAUCAGAAAGCCACGGCUAACUACGUGCCAGCAGCCGCGGUAAUACGUAGGUGGCAAGCGUUAUCCGGAAUUAUUGGGCGUAAAGCGCGCGUAGGCGGUUUUUUAAGUCUGAUGUGAAAGCCCACGGCUCAACCGUGGAGGGUCAUUGGAAACUGGAAAACUUGAGUGCAGAAGAGGAAAGUGGAAUUCCAUGUGUAGCGGUGAAAUGCGCAGAGAUAUGGAGGAACACCAGUGGCGAAGGCGACUUUCUGGUCUGUAACUGACGCUGAUGUGCGAAAGCGUGGGGAUCAAACAGGAUUAGAUACCCUGGUAGUCCACGCCGUAAACGAUGAGUGCUAAGUGUUAGGGGGUUUCCGCCCCUUAGUGCUGCAGCUAACGCAUUAAGCACUCCGCCUGGGGAGUACGACCGCAAGGUUGAAACUCAAAGGAAUUGACGGGGACCCGCACAAGCGGUGGAGCAUGUGGUUUAAUUCGAAGCAACGCGAAGAACCUUACCAAAUCUUGACAUCCUUUGACAACUCUAGAGAUAGAGCCUUCCCCUUCGGGGGACAAAGUGACAGGUGGUGCAUGGUUGUCGUCAGCUCGUGUCGUGAGAUGUUGGGUUAAGUCCCGCAACGAGCGCAACCCUUAAGCUUAGUUGCCAUCAUUAAGUUGGGCACUCUAAGUUGACUGCCGGUGACAAACCGGAGGAAGGUGGGGAUGACGUCAAAUCAUCAUGCCCCUUAUGAUUUGGGCUACACACGUGCUACAAUGGACAAUACAAAGGGCAGCGAAACCGCGAGGUCAAGCAAAUCCCAUAAAGUUGUUCUCAGUUCGGAUUGUAGUCUGCAACUCGACUACAUGAAGCUGGAAUCGCUAGUAAUCGUAGAUCAGCAUGCUACGGUGAAUACGUUCCCGGGUCUUGUACACACCGCCCGUCACACCACGAGAGUUUGUAACACCCGAAGCCGGUGGAGUAACC
rnacentral:rRNA from 1 species